AGUUAAGUCAUUUUAAAUCAUUAAGUUAAAAAAAUAAACGUCAUCAUAGUUUUUGUUAUUAUUAUUAUUAAUUGGCCAAGGCGAAAUUUUACUGAUCAUAUGACCGCAAUCACUCAUGUCGAAGUAAUAAUAAGGAUGAAAAUAUUUGGUGUUUAAAGGAUGUUGAUGUGAUUUGACAAAUCUACUACCAUCUCUAUUUUUACUAUGGUCGGCUUUGGUUUCUCUUUUGAGCUCAUUAGAUUGGUCCUUAGCGAUUUGGCAAAUUAGGAAUGAGGUUUAAUGGUAUUUAAGAUUGAAAGAGGAGCAAAGGGUUUAAUGUUUGGGCUUGGGCCGAUUCUUUGAGUGCUAUGGCUCAACGUGAAUAAUCUAAGUACUGUAACACUACAUAGGACACAUGUCAAGUCUCUCUCGUACCGUCAAACUAAGACCGAAACGUAAAUGUUAACGGCUAAGAAAAUAUGUACCUUGUAGCCAAUAUUAUGUCGUCACGAGAACCUUUGUGCAACAACGCACUUUAUAUCUUAAGAUAUCGUUUUUAUUAUUAUAUUUUCGCGCAAAUAUAUAUGGAUGUAUACUCCACAAGUCUAAAACCCUUGGGUAAGGAAGGCAAAAUGCAACAUUGGGCUUGGUUUUUUCAAAUCCAGGCCCAAUCCCCUUAGAGAGAAAGUAUAAAGGUUGGGCUUGGGUUGGAACCAUUUCAGGCCUAGAUUGAGUUUGGACUUUUACUUAUUUUUA
rnacentral:lncRNA from 1 species